ACCACAUUUCCUCUCCAAGAACCUGGUCAACCACAUCACAGGGAAUCAGAGUUUCAGCGCCACUGUAGAAGAUGUGCAAGAUGAGGAGAUCACAAAAGUUCUACAUCAGGUCCUGAAAGCUGAAUCAGAGGAGUCUUUGCAUGAUCUUAUUUUGCAAAACAGCACAAUCUUCCAAACUGCUGGAUGCCUCAGAAACGUCAAGCCUUGUGAGAAACAAGCAUUUGUGGAGGAGUACCUCAGAUGGUACAUCCUUGAAAGAAACCAAAGUGUCAUUCAACGAUUUAAAGAUGGACUGGAAAGUCUGAAUUUUUUUAAGUGCACUGCAACAAAAUUCCAGUGUGCUGGCCCCAC